GACGAACGCUGGCGGCGUGCCUAAUGCAUGCAAGUCGAACGCUGAAGGAGGAGCUUGCUCUUCUGGAUGAGUUGCGAACGGGUGAGUAACGCGUAGGUAACCUGCCUGGUAGCGGGGGAUAACUAUUGGAAACGAUAGCUAAUACCGCAUAAGAGUAGAUGUUGCAUGACAUUUACUUAAAAGGUGCAAUUGCAUCACUACCAGAUGGACCUGCGUUGUAUUAGCUAGUUGGUGGGGUAACGGCUUACCAAGGCGACGAAACAUAGCCGACCUGAGAGGGUGAUCAGCCGCACUGGGACGGUGACACGCCCCAGAGUCCCACGGGAGGCAGCAGUAGGGAAUCGGCGGCAAUGGGCGGAAGUCUGACCGAGCAACGCCGCGUGAGUGAAGAGGGUUGUCGGGUCGUAAAGCUCGGUUGUAAGAGAAGAACGAGUGUGAGAGUGGAAAGUUCACACUGUGACGGUAACUGAUCAGAAAGGGACGACUAACUACGUG
rnacentral:rRNA from 1 species